GAUCCUGGCUCAGGAUGAACGCUGGCGGCGUGCCUAACACAUGCAAGUCGAGCGGAGAUAAGUUGAAGCCUAGCGAUUCUUAUCUUAGCGGCGGAUGGGUGAGUAACACGUGGGUAACCUGCCCUGCACUGGGGAAUAACAGCUGGAAACGGCUGUUAAUGCCGCAUAUGCGCACGGAGCCGCAUGGCUUUGGGCGGAAAAGAUUUAUCGGUGCAGGAUGGGCCCGCGCCGGAUUAACUAGUUGGCGGGGUAACGGCCCACCAAGGUGAUGAUCCGUAGCCGACCUGAGAGGGUGACCGGCCACAUUGGGACUGAGACACGGCCCAAACUCCUACGGGAGGCAGCAGUGGGGGAUAUUGCACAAUGGGGGAAACCCUGAUGCAGCGACGCCGCGUGAAGGAUGAAGUAUUUCGGUAUGUAAACUUCUAUCAACGGGGAAGAAGAUGACGGUACCCGACUAAGAAGCCCCGGCUAACUACGUGCCAGCCGCUGC
rnacentral:rRNA from 1 species